rnacentral:rRNA from 1 species
AACGAACGCUGGCGGCGUGCCUAACACAUGCAAGUCGAGCGCGAAAGGAGCAAUCCGAGUAGAGCGGCGCACGGGUGCGUAACACGUGGGUAAUCUGCCUCAGGGUUGAGGAUAACCUUCCGAAAGGUUGGCUAAUACUCGGUAAGCUUACGGUGUCUUCGGACGCUGUGAGAAAACUAGACCUCUAUUUACAAGUUUAGGCCCAGAGAUGAGCCCGCGGCCCAUCAGCUAGUUGGCGGUGUAACGGACCACCAAGGCAACGGCGGGUAGCUGGUCUGAGAGGAUGAUCCGCCACACUGGGACUGAGACACGGCCCAGACUCCUACGGGAGGCAGCAGUGGGGAAUUUUGGACAAUGGGCGAAAGCCUGAUCCAGCCAUGCCGCGUGAGUGAAGAAGGCCUUCGGGUUGUAAAGCUCUUUCGGCCGGGAAGAAAUCGUGUGGGCUAAUACCCUGCAUGGAUGACGGUACCGGAAUAAGAAGCACCGGCUAACUACGUGCCAGCCGCCGCGGUAAAAC